rnacentral:rRNA from 1 species
UACGUAGGGUGCGAGCGUUAAUCGGAAUUACUGGGCGUAAAGCGUGCGUAGGUGGUUGUUUAAGUCUGCUGUGAAAGCCCUGGGCUCAACCUGGGAAUUGCAGUGGAUACUGGGCGACUAGAGUGUGGUAGAGGAUAGUGGAAUUUCCGGUGUAGCAGUGAAAUGCGUAGAGAUCGGAAGGAACAUCUGUGGCGAAGGCGACUAUCUGGGCCAACACUGACACUGAGGCACGAAAGCGUGGGGAGCAAACAGG